ensembl:ncRNA lncRNA:CR44148 long non-coding RNA:CR44148
ACUAAAGACGACACGACAUGGAUCUGCGUACUAAAAAAUGGUUGGACGGGAAUAUUCUUCAAAAUUUUGUUAAAUAAAAAUACAAUUUAGUGCGGGUGGGUGCGGAUGGUUUUAUUUAAAUUUUUGGCGGAUUACCUUUGUAGCCUUGGCCCAAACAAUUUAUUCGUGGUAAAGUAUUAGCACAUUUUUUGUAAAGGGAAAUUCCUUAGAGGAAAUAUAAACGAAAAGGUAAGGAAAUUGGCUCAUAAAUAAGCUUCCUGAUAAUCUAAUUUUAUGGUGCUAUAAAAAUUCUUCAUAAAGGAAAUAAAGAUCUUUAGUGAACUGAUGACUCAAGCUCACUCAUGGUUUUUUCGAUUAUAAUGGUGAAUGGUAAUGGUGACGCUCACUGGACGUGGACACAAAGCACAAAAGCCGGAUUGUGGAGUUCGACUUUACCCCAUAACCAUACAACCACAACCAACGCAGACGAGUAAACAACACACAAACAAAAUGCGCAUUAAUGUCUAUAGUUGCCUUAGAGAGUUUUAUUUACAGAGUUUAAUAAUUAUGAUACAUUUAG